rnacentral:rRNA from 1 species
CCUACAUGAAGCUGGAGUUGCUAGUAAUCGCGAAUCAGCAUGUCGCGGUGAAUACGUUCCCGGGCCUUGUACACACCGCCCGUCACACCAUGAGAGUUGGCAAUACCCAACGUACGUGAUCUAACCCGCAAGGGAGGAAGCGUCCUAAGGUAGGGUCAGCGAUUGGGGUGAAGUCGUAACAAGGUACC